AAUCAACGCUGGCGGCGUGCCUCAGACAUGCAAGUCGAACGAUUAAAGCUCUCUUCGGAGAGUGCAUAGAGUGGCGCACGGGUGAGUAACACGUAAGUAAUCUACCUUCGAGUGGGGAAUAACGUCCGGAAACGGACGCUAAUACCGCAUAAUGCAGCGGCAUCAUAAGAUGACAGUUGUUAAAGAUUUAUCGCUUGAAGAGGAGCUUGCGGCAGAUUAGCUAGUUGGUAAGGUAAUGGCUUACCAAGGCUACGAUCUGUAACCGGUCUAAGAGGACGGUCGGUCACACUGACACUGAAUAACGGGUCAGACUCCUACGGGAGGCAGCAGUCGGGAAUUUUGGGCAAUGGGCGAAAGCCUGACCCAGCAACGCCGCGUGAAGGAUGAAGUAUUUCGGUAUGUAAACUUCGAAAGAAUGGGAAGAAUAAAUGACGGUACCAUUUAUAAGGUCCGGCUAACUACGUGCCAGCCGCCGCUGU
rnacentral:rRNA from 1 species